GCUCCGUUCUCCAUCAUGGCGUUGUCUCUGCUCUUGGUCUUCUUCUUCAUGUGGUGCACAGGGGCCAAUUCACAGUACACCUUGACUCAACCUGCUGCCCAAUCGUCUCCCCUGGGACAAUCAGCAAAGAUCUCAUGUACCAUGAGUCGAGACAGCCAAGUGGGCAGUUACUACAUAUCCUGGUACCAACAACACCCUGGAAAGAGCCCAAAAUUCCUUCUCUAUGAUGCCAACAGCAAUGGCCGGUUCACGGGGUCCAAGGACUCCUCCGCCAAUGCAGCCUAUUUGACCAUCGCCACCCUCCAGGCUGAUGAUGAGGCUGAUUACUAUUGUGCUGGUGCUUAUGGGAGUGGUAGUACCUGGAG